GUUGAAGAGGACGAAACAGAAAGGGGCGACGGGUAUAAUGGCCCUACUUUCAGAUGUUCAAUUCAGAAGGUGUACUCUGUUAUUUCGCAGUUUGACCAGCAGAAACGAGAAAUCGUUAACUCUAUGGGUUGGGGUGGCACUCUAUACAUGCCUCUGGUCAGCAAACUAAGCGUCAGGCAUAUGGUCUGGCUUCUAGGGAUGGUGGAUGAGGUCGGACAAGCCAUUGUACUGGGACCGAAUAAGGUUUUUAAGUUCAAUGAGAGUGAUGUUGAGAAGGUAUUCGGAAUCCCGGCAGCUGGAACAGAUGUGAUGGACAAAACUCUUGAUAGGAGUGACACUGUAUAUGCAUACUUGCGUGGUCGUUUGGGGAUAGAGAACAAGGAGGUAAGAAGUCUGAAGAGCAUACAGUCCAUACUGUCACGUGACUAUAAGGGGAAGAUGUCACCAACAGAGGUGGCUGCAUUCAAAAGUGCGUACAUCGUAUUCAUGAUGACACAUGUAUUUGCACCGACAGUCAAGAAUGACUACUUCUACACUGAUUAUUGGCCAGCACUGGUCGACCCGGAUAGCUUGGAUAAGUUCAAUUGGGGAAGAUAUAUUGUUGAAGUACUGUGCGCAACCGCCGUUAAGAUGAAACAAGAUAUUCGCAGGAAAGCCACGGUGUCGAACAUAACAGGAUGUCUGCUCUUCCUACAGGUCAAGACGUUUCAGAUACCUCAUUACUUCAUCAGCACACAGCUGAUGUUACAGUAUACGCAUCUGAUAAACGAUGGGUUAUUAAUAUUGUUUUUUGUUGUUUUGUUUUUCGGCAUGUAUCUUAGGUUUUCUAUCUAG
rnacentral:rRNA from 1 species